AACGCAAAUUGCACUUCUUGGUAUUCCGAGGAGUAUGCUUGCUUGAGGGUUUGGUCUACAAAAAGAUCGUAAAUUUUUUUACGGAUCUGGGCUUUCCGAGUUUUCCGACUGCGGUUGCCUAAAAUUUAUCUUAACAACGUGAUGUUAAUUAGAAAUGUUCUAUCUUACAUAUUGUAAGUUCAUUGAUAAUUAUGCUAGUUGUUAUAUCGCGUUAUUCAUCUAGUAUCUUUGAUUAGGUGAAAUAAUUCAAUUUUUUUAAUCCUACCUCAAGUCAAGCAAGGGUACCCGCUGAACUUAA
rnacentral:misc_RNA from 1 species